UACGGGGGGGGCAAGCGUUGUUCGGAAUUACUGGGCGUAAAGGGCUCGUAGGCGGCCAACUAAGUCGGAUGUGAAAUCCCCAGGCUUAACCUGGGAACUGCAUCCGAUACUGGAUGGCUUGAAUUCGGGAGAGGGAUGCAGAAUUCCAGGUGUAGCGGUGAAAUGCGUAGAGAUCCGGAAGAACACCAGAGGCGAAGGCGGCUCGCUGGGCUUGGUCUGACGCUGAGGCGCGAAAGCGUGGGGAGCGAACAGG
rnacentral:rRNA from 1 species